AGAGGAAGUAAAAGUCGUAACAAGGUUUCCGUAGGUGAACCUGCGGAAGGAUCAUUACAGUGUUAUCACAACAUCGGCGCGGGAGGGGGGUUUAAGAUGCUGGCCCGAAAGAGGGCAUUUCGUGACUCACCCCCUUCCGUUUCCGUUGCUUGCGUAUUAUACGUCCACACCCGUGAACCUUAAUGGGAGGGUUCGCCCUCCCUUUUUUUUUAAAACCAAAGCCUGUUGAAACGCAUGUCUCCAGCCCCACGGGGCGAGUAAAAGUUUAAUACAACUUUCAACAACGGAUCUCUUGGCUUUCGCAUCGAUGAAGGACGCCGCGAAAGUGCGAAACGUAAUGUGAAUUGCAGAAUUCAGUGAAUCAUCGAAUCUUUGAACGCAUCUUGCGCUCCUUGGCAUUCCGAGGAGCAUGCCUGUUUGAGUGUCGUGAAACCAUCCCUCGACCCGACUCCUCGUUAGAGUUUGGGUUGGAUUUGGACGUCUGCGGGGGCGGUCGCCUCUCGCUCGUCUUUAAACGCAUCAGCUUGGCCCUCGGGUCGGACCGAUCGACGGUGUGAUAAUUAACACAUUGAACGCCGUUUUGGCCCGACCUUCGCGUGGGGNNGCUUAUAACCCCCCGGUCCCUUUCUUUGGGACCGAU
rnacentral:rRNA from 1 species